UAGAGUAAUUGGGUGCUAUUUACUGUAGCAGAAUUUCGAGGUUAGCAAAUAUGACCCCAAAGGGUCAUCGACUAGCAAGAAAGUAUGUUGCAACAACAUGUAUGCAGCGUAAUAAAUGUCUGGGAGCAUUCAACACUUGCCCUUAUAGGGUCUCUUAUGUCUCUGAUCAAACUUCUACUUCUGGGAUAUUGGUAGUGGAUGUUCCGCACUUAACAACAGAAGAUAGUCAUCACGAAUAUGUUGAGGCAUACAUUUCGUUUGGUUGUGGACAGGUGCAAGGCGGUUCAUUCCUGGAUAUAUAUUGCUGCUCCUAAUGGUUUGUUUGGUCUUGGUAUGGAGAAGAUAUUGAAUUAUUUCUUUGAUCCUUGUUUUGUUUGUGUGUUCGAAUUGUGUAUGUUUGUGUAGUUGUAUAUUAAUUAUGUUUUUAUAUAUAUCUCAUUUGGGCUUUAGAAGCAUCCAGCUAUCUAUCUAGAUGAAAACAUCAUGUUUACUCUCUUUCAUCCAUAAAUUUCGUUCGGUAAAGCACAUUACGACCAUACACCUCAGUCCUUCUCCUUUUUCUCUAUUCUUCUAAUAUUUACAGAAUAAUCUGCAGGUAAUAUAUUCUGUCUCUAGUCAGCAGUUUUGUUACUUUAGUAUAGGGCAUGUAGCAAUUUUGUUUUGGCUCAUAAAUCAUAAUCAAGAUUUCUUUAGUCUGUUUGUAUUUACUCGAGAAACUUUAACGAUGUGCCAGGUGUUGAAUCGUUCUUCUGCUAUCCCGGUGCAGCAGCCCAAGAUUCAACAAGAUGGUGGUAGUAUAUCAUGUAAAAAGCCAUUUACAGUCAUCCACCACCAGCUUUUGGUUUUUCUGAAGACCUUGAACUUGCUCUUGAAGCCAAGAAGUUACAAGUACAACAUGGGAAUAACACUGAAUGCCUUUUAAAGG